GCCGGGGUAGCUCAGCUGGUCAGAGCGCCAGGCUCUUCCCGGGCGAGACUCAUAAUCUGGAGGUCGUGGGUUCAAACCCCACCCCCGGCA
rnacentral:tRNA from 1 species